rnacentral:misc_RNA from 1 species
GGCGUCUUUAUUAAAUUCAAAAUAAUUAUCGGGUUCCCAUAUCUCUUUGCAAGAUUUUCAAAAUGAAGCUUUGUUGCCUCAUAGUUUUGGUCCUUCUUCAAUAAUCUAAUGUCAGGUUUAAUAUUCAAUCGUGAAGUUUCCUGGGACCAGAAAAGUGGGAUUGAACCCCGAUGCUGCACAACAGAACUUAUUUGCACCGGAUAUCCCUCAGGAACAUCUUCAAACACAAUUUGUUCUGUCUCAACAUCAUUGGCCACUCUACCCUUAUCAUUCACACCACGUUUUAAAUAUCUUGU